rnacentral:rRNA from 1 species
CUCGCUGUGAAGAUGCAGUGUACCCGCGGCAAGACGGAAAGACCCCGUGAACCUUUACUAUAGCUUGACACUGAACAUUGAGCCUUGAUGUGUAGGAUAGGUGGGAGGCUUUGAAGUGUGGACGCCAGUCUGCAUGGAGCCGACCUUGAAAUACCACCCUUUAAUGUUUGAUGUUCUAACGUGGACCCGUGAUCCGGGUUGCGGACAGUGUCUGGUGGGUAGUUUGACUGGGGCGGUCUCCUCCUAAAGAGUAACGGAGGAGCACGAAGGUUGGCUAAUCCUGGUCGGACAUCAGGAGGUUAGUGCAAUGGCAUAAGCCAGCUUGACUGCGAGCGUGACGGCGCGAGCAGGUGCGAAAGCAGGUCAUAGUGAUCCGGUGGUUCUGAAUGGAAGGGCCAUCGCUCAACGGAUAAAAGGUACUCCGGGGAUAACAGGCUGAUACCGCCCAAGAGUUCAUAUCGACGGCGGUGUUUGGCACCUCGAUGUCGGCUCAUCACAUCCUGGGGCUGAAGUAGGUCCCAAGGGUAUGGCUGUUCGCCAUUUAAAGUGGUACGCGAGCUGGGUUUAGAACGUCGUGAGACAGUUCGGUCCCUAUCUGCCGUGGGCGCUGGAGAACUGAGGGGGGCUGCUCCUAGUACGAGAGGACCGGAGUGGACGCAUCACUGGUGUUCGGGUUGUCAUGCCAAUGGCACUGCCCGGUAGCUAAAUGCGGAA